rnacentral:misc_RNA from 1 species
GUUUUCAAUCUAGCAUUUUUUUUUCUUUUCUUUUCUUUUCCUCUGCUUUCGUGGUAAAUUACGGAGGUAGAAAAUGAAAUCCGUCAUUACAAAACCUCCUCUUAAUUCCAUUCAGCUCCCAAAACCCGUUAUUAUCCGAUUCCACUGUUCUCUCGCUAAUCUCACAUCUCACAGACAUGUCUUUAAACCUAAAAAAUUAGGCUCCCAAAGUCCCCUAAUUCCCUUCAUUCAACGUAAAAGACUCUCAAUUAGCACUUUUGCAGAUGCUGCUUCCAGCUCUAACUCGGUUAUGGAGUCGCCUAACUCAGAAGAAGAAGACGCCGAGUCCGCCCAGCUGUUCGAGAAAUUGAAAGAGGCCGAGAGGCAGAGAGUAAACGAGUUGGAAGAAUUAGAGAGGAAAGCGGAUGUGCAAUUGGAGAGGCAGCUUGUAAUGGCAUCCAACUGGAGCAGGGCAUUGUUAACUAUGCGUGGAAAGUUGAAGGGAACGGAGUGGGAUCCUGAGAACUCUCAUAGAAUUGAUUUUAGUCAAUUCUGGAGUCUUCUUAAUUCAAAUAAUGUUCAGUUUAUGGAGUACUCAAAUUAUGGGCAGACUGUGUCAGUGAUUCUGCCAUACUACAAGGAUGGAAAAAUGCAGGGAGAAGGAAAGAAUUCGAAGAAGGAAAUUAUUUUUCAGCGGCAUGUGGUUGACCGUAUGCCAAUUGAUUGUUGGAAUGAUGUCUGGAAAAAGCUGCAUCAGCAAAUAGUGAAUGUCGAAGUCAUUAAUGUGGAUACAGUUCCUGCAGAAGUCUACUCUACUGUUGCAACUGCAGUAAUUUGGUCUAUGCGGCUUGCUUUAUCUGUUGCAUUAUAUGUUUGGAUUGAUAAUAUGAUGAGACCAAUUUAUGCAAAGUUAAUACCUUGUGAUUUGGGAAAGCCUAGUCAAACUAUUAGGCAGCCACUCAAACGCCGUGCACUUGGGUCACUAGGCAAGAGUCGGGCAAAGUUUAUAUCAGCAGAAGAAACUACUGGUGUUACCUUUGAUGAUUUUGCUGGCCAGGAGUACAUAAAGAGGGAACUACAGGAGAUUGUACGAAUUUUGAAGAAUGAGGAGGAGUUCCAAGACAAGGGAAUCUAUUGUCCAAAAGGUGUACUUCUCCAUGGGCCCCCAGGAACUGGUAAAACUUUGCUAGCUAAAGCUAUUGCUGGUGAAGCAGGACUGCCUUUCUUUGCAGCAAAUGGCACCGAUUUUGUAGAGAUGUUUGUAGGUGUGGCAGCUUCUCGUGUCAAGGAUCUUUUUUCCAGUGCCAGAUCAUUUGCCCCAUCCAUCAUCUUUAUUGAUGAAAUUGAUGCUAUUGGCAGCAAGCGUGGAGGACCUGAUAUUGGUGGGGGUGGUGCUGAGAGAGAGCAAGGCCUCCUUCAGAUACUGACGGAGAUGGAUGGAUUUAAAGAAUUUACAUCUCAGGUGCUAGUUAUAGGUGCAACAAAUAGACUUGACAUUCUUGAUCCUGCUCUCUUGAGAAAGGGUCGUUUUGACAAGAUUAUAAGAGUUGGUUUGCCAUCUAAAGAUGGCAGAUUGGCAAUUUUAAAGGUGCAUGCCAGAAAUAAAUUUUUCCGUUCAGAGCAGGAAAAGGAGGCUUUACUUCUGGAAAUUGCGGAGUUGACAGAAGAUUUUACAGGAGCAGAGCUGCAGAAUAUACUGAAUGAAGCUGGAAUUUUAACAGCCAGGAAGGAUUUAGAUUACAUUGGACGAGAAGAACUUCUAGAGGCUUUGAAGAGGCAAAAAGGAACUUUUGAAACAGGCCAGGAAGAUAGUACUGAAAUUCCACAGGAAUUAAAAUUAAGAUUGGCAUAUCGGGAAGCAGCUGUUGCUGUUCUUGCGUGCUAUUUUCCUGAUCCCUAUCACCCUUUUACAGAGACACAUAUAAAUUCUAUCCAUAGCCAGCCAAACAUGCACUAUGCAGAAACUGCCGGCAGGGUUUUUGCAAGGAAAUCAGAUUAUGUGAAUGCUAUAGUGCGUGCAUGCUCUCCUAGAGUAAUUGAGGAGGAGAUGUUUGGGGCAAACAAUUUGUGUUGGAUCUCUGCAAAAGCAACAUUAGAAGCUUCAAGGCUUGCAGAGCGUUUGAUUCUUCAGACUGGGAUGACAGCAUUUGGGAAAGCAUUCUACAGGAAUCAUAGUGAUCUUGUCCCCAAUCUUGCAGCAAAACUUGAAGCACUUCGGGAUGAAUACAUGCGUUAUGCUGUUGAAAAAUGUUCAUCAGUGCUGAGAGAAUACCAUUCAGCUGUGCAGACAAUUACAGAUAUUUUACUUGAGAAGGGAGAGAUAAAAGCUGACAAAAUUUGGGAUAUAUACAAAAGUACUCCACGAAUACCUCAACCUGCUGUGAGCCCUGUUGAUGAAUAUGGAGCCCUAAUUUAUGCUGGACGAUGGGGUAUGCAUGGGAUUACACUUCCUGGGAGAGUUACAUUUGCACCUGGAAAUGUUGGCUUUUCAACCUUUGGUGCUCCCCGCCCCAUGGAGACUCAAAUUAUCAGUGAUGAAACCUGGAAGCUCAUAGAUGGUAUUUGGGAUAAAAGGAUUGAAGAAAUAAAAGCUGAAGCUUCAAUGGAGAUUGAGGAAGACAAUGAGAAGCCACAACUUUUGAUGGCCAGCCAUUUUCUUUGAAGACAAUUCAUUUUUUCUUGGUGGUCAGAAUGCAGUUCCAUUGCCUCUCUCCUCCCAUCUUGUAUGCAGUUCCAUCUGAAACCUCAUUUUAUUUUUGUUUAUUGGUGGUUGGUGGCAUAUAAGAAAUGUCUAAGAAUAUGGUGUUGGCACCAUAUAUUCAUCUCUUCUUCCCUGGUUCCACCACCUAAUUUUAAAGAGAGAGUUAUCAUAGACUUGUUCUAUAUGCAUAGUAGUUGAAAUUCUAGAUUGCAACAUAUUUUCCUCCUGAAUUUUUCUUCCUAAGUCCUCAUCCCUCUUUUUGAUUGGUAGUGUUAGGCCUCCAUUUCGUUUGUUGCAAAAUUGGCUACAAUACCAGAUAGUUGCUAGAAGAGCAGCUUCUGCCUUUGCUUUUGUUGAUUAAUCUUUUAUUUUGCCUUUAGAGUCGAGUGUUCAUUCCAUAAACUUCCAUGCUUGGGUAAAAAUAUCCAAUUCAAGGGCACUCAGACCAGCCCAAUUUCAGUUUGGAAACGUCUAUGUUGCAUGGUGUAGGGAUCAAGAAUUUAAUGUAAAAAUAACUAUCUUUCUUCCUGUGAUUAUUUCCUAAUUUUCUCCUUUUUAACGCUUUUAACUUCAUAUUUUUGAGACCAUAACUACAUUCUUGCUGCCAUGACUGUUAUGUUUCUGUAUUCAUAUUCUUCUAUAAGAUGAGAGAUGG